GCCAGCAUGGUAUAGUUGUUUGAGCACUGGACUAUGACUCUGCAGAACAGAGUUCAAAUCCCUGCUCAGGCA